rnacentral:rRNA from 1 species
UACAUGUGGGGCAGGCGUUGUUCGGAAUUACUGGGCAUAAAGGGUGCGUAGGUGGUUUGGUAAGUCAGUGGUGAAAUCGUCCGGCCCAACCGGACACGUGCCAAUGAUACUGCCGAACUCGAGUGCGUGAGGGGUGGGGGGAACGAGCAGUGUAGCGGUGAAAUGCGUAGAUAUUGCUCGGAAGGCCAAAGCCGAAGGGACCCCACUGGUACGUAACUGACACUGAGGCACGAAAGCGUGGGGAGCAAACAGG